rnacentral:rRNA from 1 species
GGCCCAGACUCCUACGGGAGGCAGCAGUGGGGAAUCUUAGACAAUGGGGGCAACCCUGAUCUAGCCAUGCCGCGUGAGUGAUGAAGGCCUUAGGGUCGUAAAGCUCUUUCGCCUGUGAUGAUAAUGACAGUAGCAGGUAAAGAAACCCCGGCUAACUCCGUGCCAGCAGCCGCGGUAAUACGGAGGGGGUUAGCGUUGUUCGGAAUUACUGGGCGUAAAGCGCGCGUAGGCGGAUUAGAAAGUUGGGGGUGAAAUCCCGGGGCUCAACCCCGGAACUGCCUCCAAAACUGCUAGUCUAGAGUUCGAGAGAGGUGAGUGGAAUUCCGAGUGUAGAGGUGAAAUUCGUAGAUAUUCGGAGGAACACCAGUGGCGAAGGCGGCUCACUGGCUCGAUACUGACGCUGAGGUGCGAAAGUGUGGGGAGCAAACAGGAUUAGAUACCCUGGUAGUCCACACCGUAAACGAUGAAUGCCAGUCGUCGGGGCGCUUGCGCUUCGGUGACACACCUAACGGAUUAAGCAUUCCGCCUGGGGAGUACGGUCGCAAGAUUAAAACUCAAAGGAAUUGACGGGGGCCCGCACAAGCGGUGGAGCAUGUGGUUUAAUUCGAAG